AUAAGGAAAGUGGAAUGCCAUAUGGAGCGGUUAAAUGCGUAGAUAUAUGGAGGAAGACCAAAAGCGAAGGCAACUUUCUGGUACAUGACUGACACUGAGAAGCGAAAGCGUGGGUAGCGAAUGGGAUUAGAUACCCCAGUAGUCCACGCCGUCAACGAUGAGUGUUUAUUGGGUGUAAGUUUAUUUAUGCUUGAUUCAGCUAACGCGUAAACACUCCGCCUGGGGAGUACGGCCGCAAGGUUAAAACUCAAAGGAAUUGACGGGGGCUUGCACAAGCGGUGGAGCAUCUUGUUUAAUUCGACAAUACGCGCAGAACCUUACCAACCCUUGAAUAACUGAGAACUAUAAAUGUAAGUUUAUAUGUAUGCCAGUUACAGGCGCUGCAUGGCUGUCGUCAGUUCGUGGCGUGAGCUGUUAGGUUAAGUCCUAGAACGAACGCAACCCUUGAUACAUAUUAAUUUCUUAUGUAUGACCGCCGGUUAUACACCGGAGGAAGGUAAGGAUGACGCCAAGUCCUCAUGGCCCUUAUGGGUUGGGCUACAAAGGUGCUACAAUGGCGACUACAAUCGGUAGCAAUGGUGCGAACCGGAGCCAAUCCUCAAAAGUCGUCUCAGUUUGGAUUGUUCUCUGCAAUUCGAGAACAUGAAAGUGGAAUCGCUAGUAAUCGCGGAUCAGAACGCCGCGGUGAAUAUGUACCCAAGCCUUGUACACACCGCCUGUCCCAUUUAGGAAAUAGGUUACACCUGAACCUGUAUGUAUUUAUAUAACCUAUAUAUGUAAAUGUAUAUGUUUAUUGCUAAGCUUAU
rnacentral:rRNA from 1 species